CUUGAGCGAUGUAUUUAAGAGGUCAUUCUUUCAAUAUUCUGAUGGCAAAAAUCUUUUGCUAGGUUCGGUUAUGGUUAUAAUCCAUUCUCUUGAAGAAAUAAAAGCAAGUUUAACCUUCCUGACCAAGAAAACUUCAUUGACUCCAAGUAAGCCUGGAAGCAGCUGCGGAAUGACACUUUGCUAGUUGAAGAAGAUGAUUAUCUUCUGUGACUAUCUUGAUGACUAAAAAUCUCAGUCUUGGCCACUCCGAAGCUAUCCCCAAGCUCAUGGCCCACACGUUCAAAGCCACCACCAGUUACUAGAGCGUAUUUUAUUUCUGUCUUUUGGGGAGGACACUGAAAAGCAGCCUUGGGAAGGUUGAAAAGCAAUCAGAUUCCAAGGAAACUAGGUUUAUAUAUGUGGUGUUAUGAAAUCUUGCAGCCAGCUUGCACUGGCAAGCUUGACACAUUUUUUUUACUGAGGCUGGUUACCCAUUUGGCAUCAACAUAAUCAGCAGAGGCAAGUGAACUCUGAG
rnacentral:lncRNA from 1 species